AUCUGCAGUUUUCUGUCUCUAGUGAUCCCUUCUCUCUUCUUGUCUUCAACAAUGGAAAACGAAAGAGAAAAAGAAGUGUACAAGAAAAAUGAAAAGUCAAAAGUUAAUUUGAAAGAGUGUAGGGUUCCACUAAUCAAGGUUAUAACUAAUUAGGGUUUUGAUAUGAAUUUUUAACUUCUUAGAUAAAAGAUUAAUGAAGGAAAUAAAUAGGAAGGAAAAAAUGGUUAAUUAAACAAUAUAAGGAAUCGACAACUCAGUUUUUACAAACGCAAAAGUGGGAACUCAUCAAGAAAGCUUAUGAGCUCUCUCCUUCUUGGUGAUAUUGACAUUGCUCUUAUUAUCUUCUCCCCUUCCGGUCACCUCACCCACUUCUCCGGCCGCCGCAGAUCGAUUGAGGACGUUCUUGCUCGUUACAUAUAAAUCUUCCUGAUCAUUAUAGAAGAAGUUUUUACUUGGGACACUACGUAAUAUGAAGAUCGAGAAUGACAUUGCACUCCAACAUCUGAAUCCUACACCAAGCCACUCCAAUAAUAUUGAGG